GGCUGCGUCUAAUACCACCUCCACCCCUCAUCCCUCACAAUGCGCGGAAAACCACAGGCGGCUGUGCGCGCAGCGUCGGCUCAGCCACCGCAGCUCCUCCCCUGGGAUGAAAAAGCACUCUGACGUCUUGAAAGCUGGCAGCUCUCUGUUUGGAAAAUCUCUGCCCAGUGAAAAAAUGUACCGACAAGAUUACUAAGUAACACAGUCUUCUGGGAAUGCCUUAUCAAUGCCAGCUAUUUGAAGAGCACCCAAAGUCAAACUAGUGCUCCGCGCUGGCAGUCUGGAAAAGGCAGAUGUAUGUGAGUAGAGAAACUGAUAGACAACUAGUUGCUGGCCAGUUGGCCUGUUUUCGUGCUACAAGCCUUCAGAAAACAGUCGCCUCCUUUUACCACGUUUCUAUUUCUAAACCAAAAUGAAAAGGACGUUUGUUCAAAAGAUA
rnacentral:lncRNA from 1 species